UACGGAGGAUGCGAGCGUUAUCCGGAUUUACUGGGUGUAAAGGGAGCGUAGGCGGCCAUGCAAGUCAGGUGUGAAAACCCGGGGCUUAACUCCGGGACUGCACUUGAAACUGUGUGGCUUGAGUACAGGAGAGGCAGGCGGAAUUCCUAGUGUAGCGGUGAAAUGCGUAGAUAUUAGGAAGAACACCGGUGGCGAAGGCGGCCUGCUGGACUGAGACUGACGCUGAGGCUCGAAAGCGUGGGGAGCAAAC
rnacentral:rRNA from 1 species